AAUACCAAAAGAUACUAUUCACAUUUAUACAUCUCCAAAAGUACCAUUUACAAUAUAUACAUCUUCAAAAGGGAUAUUCCAGUCCACUACAUCACACAAAAGCGAAGACUAAAACCACAAAGUGGAUCUUACACAGAGUCCUAAUUCUAACUGUGAGAAAAACAUCCUAGAAAGUCCAACUAGUAUAAUUUCAAAGGUAAAUUCUAGGGUUAUAACUCUCGUGAAGUGUGAUCCCCGCGUACGACCCCUGUUAAGGAAAUAACAAAGAAAAACGGUAAGCUUAAAGCUUAGUAAGCAAGCAGGGGCAAAAUGGUAAUUUUGCAUCAAGUCAGAUAUUUAUGCCACAAAUACAUCAAAGUCAAAGCAAAGUAACAAAACAAUUCAAGGAUACGGAUUGGCUCCAAAGCCAAGUCAUUCGCCACGCGUGACCACCUGUCGACCCUCCGUCGACCACAAGGAAUGGUCCGUAGAACUCCACUUUCUUCCUCCGACCACCUUACGCCCACUCUGGCCAGUAUCCAUACACACACAAAUGGCUCGAGCUUCGAAUCGUAUUCGAAUUGCAUUCACAAAAUUGGUGAUCUUAAGGAUAGUUUGGACUAACUUCGACCAAUCCCUAACUGGCUCGAAUAGUCCGUCUAGCCUUUAGAUCGGGCCCACUCAUAGUUUCACAUCACACACACACAAAAGGUCAUUCCAAGCCACAUGCUUCUGGGAUUCAGUCCCAAUACAGUUCACAUAUCAUAAUUCAUAUCUAUUGCAAAUACAAAUUAGGGUUUAGGUCGAGUGAAAUAAAGUACACGCUCGCCUAAGCACCCUUAUAUCACACACAAUUCAUAUUGGUGACAUUUAACACAUAAACGCCCCAGUUACUUACUUAGAGUACAAAAGUAGACAAAAACGGCACUGGGUCAAACUCAACCGUCAGUGGGUCCCACCGCCUCCGAGCAUUUCGUUACCGUCUGUGACAGAAGGUCGAGUCAUAACAUUGCUCAAACAGGUAUCCAAAUGCAUACGAAUAAGGAAAACAGCAAAUGCACCCAUACGCGCGCGGAAAUGGAAAACGGAAACGGAAACUUGUCCGUUUUGGCGUCAAGAACUGUUUUGAACACAAUGUAGGUUACGAUUGUCGGAUCAAGGCGUAUGAGAUACCGUCACGAAGCUAAGGAGAAAAGCUAUAACUUUCAUGAAGACACUUCAAUCCAGUUCUGAACGGAAUCAGGUCAUAAGUAUGGAACAACGUGCCAGGAGUUCGCACGUUUAGAUGACAGACAGGGUCUAGUGGAAGAACCAUAACUCACAACUCACAGACCCAAAUCAAGAAAUUCCAAAAGCAUUGGAAAGCUAAGACAUAAGGCUAAAACUUUUAUGUUUUGGCCAAGACUUGGAUCAACUCAAAACCAAACGAAAAGCGGGUGUCAAAGUACCUGUCAGAACUGCCCAGUGUUCCAGGCAGUUCUGACACACGAUCUUAUUUUGGCUCUAACUGGAGCUACGAAGCUCGGAUUUGGACGCACUUUAUACCAUUUUGAAUCUGAAACAGAGCUCCACAGGUUUUAUGAAGAUAUCACCACCCAGUUUCAUCAUUAUCCAUGCGAACUGAGCAUGGUCAGAAGCUAAGCUACAAAACGUGGUCAAACCAGAAUUUGUAAGCUAAGUGAGGGUUUCGGCUAUAACUCAGCCUACACACCUCUGUUUGACCUGAAAUUUUGUAGGCACAACAAGCACUUAAGAAGCUACAAUUUCUCUGAAGGACUCAGGUUCAAAUUCGGAUCAGAAUUGGGUCAAAAGUCGUUGUAAACAGGCUGCUCAAAUGGUCCAGCAAAACAGGUUCCGAAAAAAAAACAGUAAACUUUGCCGAUUUACUGGUAUUUAUAGGGAAGGAAUUUGGAACUGAUUUUUAUACCAGAGAUAGUUCUGUGAAGCUAGUUUCUAACGCUACAAACGGCAUCCCAAUCCGAGUUUUCUAGCCCAAGAUAUAGUUGCUCUACCAAAACUGAUUUCAGUCCCCUGUUUUAUCCGAAGAGACUGAGUUUGUGGCAUAUGGUUCCAUUUUUUUUUUUUUUGAUUCCCAAAUUAGUCUUGAUUGCUCAAGAGCUUAUCAAUCAAACAAGUACACCUAGUAUCCAGCAUGCAUAGCAACAUAUAUAGCCAAAAUUUAGGCAAGAAUCAUCAUAAAAUUGGCAUAGAAAUUGAACUACAAAGCUGGAAAAUCACGAACUGCUCAUAUGCAUGUUUAUAAUAGGAUUUCUUUUUUUGUUUUUCAGCAGGGGUACUUGAUUUCCUAGAUAUAUAAGAUGCGUAAAUGAAUUAUAAAUGAAAUAGGUGUAUAGCUCAUGGUACCUUUUAAAAAGCAGUAAAGUGCAAGAAAAAUUCCACCAGAUGUGCAGCAAAAAUCCAGCUCUCAACCGAAUUGGUUUUGGCCAGCUUUGCGUGCAAUUUUUGU
rnacentral:lncRNA from 1 species